rnacentral:rRNA from 1 species
UACGGAGGGGGCUAGCGUUGUUCGGAAUUACUGGGCGUAAAGCGCACGUAGGCGGAUAUUUAAGUCAGGGGUGAAAUCCCAGAGCUCAACUCUGGAACUGCCUUUGAUACUGGGUAUCUUGAGUAUGGAAGAGGUAAGUGGAAUUGCGAGUGUAGAGGUGAAAUUCGUAGAUAUUCGCAGGAACACCAGUGGCGAAGGCGGCUUACUGGUCCAUUACUGACGCUGAGGUGGCGAAAGCGUGGGGAGCAAACAGG